AACGAACGCUGGCGGCGGGCUUAACACAUGCAAGUCGAACGCAUCCUUCGGGGUGAGUGGCAGACGGGUGAGUAACGCGUGGGAACGUGCCCUUCAGUUCGGGAUAACCCAGGGAAACUUGGGCUAAUACCGGAUACGUGCGAGAGCAGAAAGAUUUAUCGCUGAAGGAUCGGCCCGCGUCUGAUUAGCUAGUUGGUGGGGUAAUGGCCCACCAAGGCGACGAUCAGUAGCUGGUCUGAGAGGAUGAUCAGCCACAUUGGGACUGAGACACGGCCCAAACUCCUACGGGAGGCAGAAGUGGGGAAUAUUGGACAAAGGCCGCAAGCCUGAUCCAGCCAUGCCGCGUGAGUGAUGAAGGCCUUAGGGUUGUAAAGCUCUUUCGUCCGGGACGAUAAUGACGGUACCGGAAGAAGAAGCCCCGGCUAACUUCGUGCCAGCAGCCGCGGUAACAC
rnacentral:rRNA from 1 species